rnacentral:rRNA from 1 species
UACGAAGGGGGCUAGCGUUGCUCGGAAUUACUGGGCGUAAAGCGCACGUAGGCGGAUUGUUAAGUCGGGGGUGAAAUCCUGGAGCUCAACUCCAGAACUGCCUUCGAAACUGGCGAUCUUGAGUCCGGGAGAGGUGAGUGGAACUGCGAGUGUAGAGGUGAAAUUCGUAGAUAUUCGCAAGAACACCAGUGGCGAAGGCGGACUCACUGGCCCGAUACUGACGCUGAGGAGCGAAAGCGUGGGAGCGAACGAG